rnacentral:rRNA from 1 species
UACGUAGGGCGCAAGCGUUGUCCGGAAUUAUUGGGCGUAAAGAGCUCGUAGGUGGUUUGUCGCGUUGUUCGUGAAAACUCACAAGCUCAACUGUGGGCGUGCGGGCGAUACGGGCAGACUGGAGUACUGCAGGGGAGACUGGAAUUCCUGGUGUAGCGGUGGAAUGCGCAGAUAUCAGGAGGAACACCGGUGGCGAAGGCGGGUCUCUGGGCAGUAACUGACGCUGAGGAGCGAAAGCGUGGGGAGCGAACAGG